rnacentral:rRNA from 1 species
GACGAACGCUGGCGGCGUGCCUAAUACAUGCAAGUCGAACGCAGUGGGGACGGGUGAGUAACACGUGGGUAACCUCCCAUCAGAGGGGAUAACACUUGGAAACACGUGCUAAACCGAUACUGAUGGAUGGACCCGCGGUGCAUUAGCUAGUUGGUGAGGUAACGGCUCACCAAGGCCACGAUGAAUAGCCGACCGGAGAGGAGGAUCGGCCACACUGGAACUGAGACACGGCCCAGACUCCUACGGGAGGCAGCAGUAGGGAAUCUUCGACAAUGGGCGAAAGUCUGACCGAGCCACGCCGCGUGAGUGAAGAAGGUUUUCGGAUCGUAAAGCACUUUUGUUAGAGAAGCGGUAUCUAACCAGAAAGCAACGGCUAACUACGUGCCAGCAGCCGCGGUAAUAC